rnacentral:rRNA from 1 species
CGACACACUAUCAUUAACUGAAUCCAUAGGUUAAUGAGGCGAACCGGGGGAACUGAAACAUCUAAGUACCCCGAGGAAAAGAAAUCAACCGAGAUUCCCCCAGUAGCGGCGAGCGAACGGGGAGCAGCCCAGAGCCUGAAUCAGUGUGUGUGUUAGUGGAAGCGUCUGGAAAGGCGCGCGAUACAGGGUGACAGCCCCGUACACAAAAAUGCACAUGCUGUGAGCUCGAUGAGUAGGGCGGGACACGUGGUAUCCUGUCUGAAUAUGGGGGGACCAUCCUCCAAGGCUAAAUACUCCUGACUGACCGAUAGUGAACCAGUACCGUGAGGGAAAGGCGAAAAGAACCCCGGCGAGGGGAGUGAAAAAGAACCUGAAACCGUGUACGUACAAGCAGUGGGAGCACGCUUAGGCGUGUGACUGCGUACCUUUUGUAUAAUGGGUCAGCGACUUAUAUUCUGUAGCAAGGUUAACCGAAUAGGGGAGCCGAAGGGAAACCGAGUCUUAACUGGGCGUUAAGUUGCAGGGUAUAGACCCGAAACCCGGUGAUCUAGCCAUGGGCAGGUUGAAGGUUGGGUAACACUAACUGGAGGACCGAACCGACUAAUGUUGAAAAAUUAGCGGAUGACUUGUGGCUGGGGGUGAAAGGCCAAUCAAACCGGGAGAUAGCUGGUUCUCCCCGAAAGCUAUUUAGGUAGCGCCUCGUGAAUUCAUCUCCGGGGGUAGAGCACUGUUUCGGCAAGGGGGUCAUCCCGACUUACCAACCCGAUGCAAACUGCGAAUACCGGAGAAUGUUAUCACGGGAGACACACGGCGGGUGCUAACGUCCGUCGUGAAGAGGGAAACAACCCAGACCGCCAGCUAAGGUCCCAAAGUCAUGGUUAAGUGGGAAACGAUGUGGGAAGGCCCAGACAGCCAGGAUGUUGGCUUAGAAGCAGCCAUCAUUUAAAGAAAGCGUAAUAGCUCACUGGUCGAGUCGGCCUGCGCGGAAGAUGUAACGGGGCUAAACCAUG